AAGUCAUGUUGAGGAUAAUUUCUCAAAAGGCCUUUAUAUCCCUCCCAAGCUCCAUACAAGGAUCCUCCAUCUUCUUGUUGAAAAUUGGCAACCUUUUUCUUGAGUUU